UUGAACGCUGGCGGCAGGCCUAACACAUGCAAGUCGAACGGUAACAGGAAACAGCUUGCUGUUUCGCUGACGAGUGGCGGACGGGUGAGUAAUGUCUGGGAAACUGCCUGAUGGAGGGGGAUAACUACUGGAAACGGUAGCUAAUACCGCAUAACGUCGCAAGACCAAAGAGGGGGACCUUCGGGCCUCUUGCCAUCGGAUGUGCCCAGAUGGGAUUAGCUUGUUGGUGGGGUAACGGCUCACCAAGGCGACGAUCCCUAGCUGGUCUGAGAGGAUGACCAGCCACACUGGAACUGAGACACGGUCCAGACUCCUACGGGAGGCAGCAGUGGGGAAUAUUGCACAAUGGGCGCAAGCCUGAUGCAGCCAUGCCGCGUGUAUGAAGAAGGCCUUCGGGUUGUAAAGUACUUUCAGCGGGGAGGAAGGGAGUAAAGUUAAUACCUUUGCUCAUUGACGUUACCCGCAGAAGAAGCACCGGCUAACUCCGUGCCAGCAGCCGCGGUAAUACGGAGGGUGCAAGCGUUAAUCGGAAUUACUGGGCGUAAAGCGCACGCAGGCGGUUUGUUAAGUCAGAUGUGAAAUCCCCGGGCUCAACCUGGGAACUGCAUCUGAUACUGGCAAGCUUGAGUCUCGUAGAGGGGGGUAGAAUUCCAGGUGUAGCGGUGAAAUGCGUAGAGAUCUGGAGGAAUACCGGUGGCGAAGGCGGCCCCCUGGACGAAGACUGACGCUCAGGUGCGAAAGCGUGGGGAGCAAACAGGAUUAGAUACCCUGGUAGUCCACGCCGUAAACGAUGUCGACUUGGAGGUUGUGCCCUUGAGGCGUGGCUUCCGGAGCUAACGCGUUAAGUCGACCGCCUGGGGAGUACGGCCGCAAGGUUAAAACUCAAAUGAAUUGACGGGGGCCCGCACAAGCGGUGGAGUAUGUGGUUUAAUUCGAAGCAACGCGAAGAACCUUACCUGGUCUUGACAUCCACGGAAGUUUUCAGAGAUGAGAAUGUGCCUUCGGGAACCGUGAGACAGGUGCUGCAUGGCUGUCGUCAGCUCGUGUUGUGAAAUGUUGGGUUAAGUCCCGCAACGAGCGCAACCCUUAUCCUUUGUUGCCAGCGGUCCGGCCGGGAACUCAAAGGAGACUGCCAGUGAUAAACUGGAGGAAGGUGGGGAUGACGUCAAGUCAUCAUGGCCCUUACGACCAGGGCUACACACGUGCUACAAUGGCGCAUACAAAGAGAAGCGACCUCGCGAGAGCAAGCGGACCUCAUAAAGUGCGUCGUAGUCCGGAUUGGAGUCUGCAACUCGACUCCAUGAAGUCGGAAUCGCUAGUAAUCGUGGAUCAGAAUGCCACGGUGAAUACGUUCCCGGGCCUUGUACACACCGCCCGUCACACCAUGGGAGUGGGUUGCAAAAGAAGUAGGUAGCUUAACCUUCGGGAGGGCGCUUACCACUUUGUGAUUCAUGACUGGGGUG
rnacentral:rRNA from 1 species